GCUGGGUGUGGUGGCGCAUGCCUGUAAUCCCAGCUACUCGGGAGGCUGAGACAGGAGAAUCGCUUGAACCCGGGAGGUGGAGGUUGCAGUGAGCCGAGAUCACGCCAUUGCACUCCAGCCUGGGCAACAGAGCAAGAUCCUGUCUCAA
rnacentral:SRP_RNA from 1 species